rnacentral:rRNA from 1 species
UACGGAGGGUGCGAGCGUUGUCCGGAAUCACUGGGCGUAAAGGGCGCGUAGGCGGCCUGAUAAGUAGGGGGUGAAAUCCUGCGGCUUAACCGCAGGGCUGCCUUCUAAACUGUCAGGCUUGAGCACAGUAGAGGCAGGUAGAAUUCCGGGUGUAGCGGUGGAAUGCGUAGAGAUCCGGAAGAAUACCGGUGGCGAAGGCGGCCUGCUGGGCAGUGGCUGACGCUGAGGCGCGAAAGCCAGGGGAGCAAACGGG